UGCGAAGGGUGCAAACGUUGCUCGGAAUUAUUGGGCGUAAAGCGCACGUAGGCGGCUUGGCAAGUCGGAUGUGAAAUCCCUCGGCUCAACCAAGGAAGUGCAUCCGAAACUGCCGAGCUUGAGUACUUAAGAGGAUCGCGGAAUUCCCGGUGUAGAGGUGAAAUUCGUAGAUAUCGGGAGGAACACCAGUGGCGAAGGCGGCGAUCUGGGAAGAUACUGACGCUGAGGUGCGAAAGCGUGGGGAGCAAACAGG
rnacentral:rRNA from 1 species